GACGAACGCUGGCGGCGUGCUUAACACAUGCAAGUCGAACGGAAAGGCCCUGCUUUUGUGGGGUGCUCGAGUGGCGAACGGGUGAGUAACACGUGAGUAACCUGCCCUUGACUUUGGGAUAACUUCAGGAAACUGGGGCUAAUACCGGAUAGGAGCUCCUGCUGCAUGGUGGGGGUUGGAAAGUUUCGGCGGUUGGGGAUGGACUCGCGGCUUAUCAGCUUGUUGGUGGGGUAGUGGCUUACCAAGGCUUUGACGGGUAGCCGGCCUGAGAGGGUUACCGGCCACAUUGGGACUGAGAGACGGCCCAGACUCCUACGGGAGGCAGCAGUGGGGAGUAUUGCACAAUGGGCGGAAGCCUGAUGCAGCAACGCCGCGUGCGGGAUGACGGCCUUCGGGUUGUAAACCGCUUUCGCCUGUGACGAAGCGUGAGUGACGGUAAUGGGUAAAGAAGCACCGGCUAACUACGUG
rnacentral:rRNA from 1 species